rnacentral:rRNA from 1 species
GACGAACGCUGGCGGCGUGCUUAACACAUGCAAGUCGAACGGAAAGGCCCCUUUGGGGGUCCUCGAGUGGCGAACGGGUGCGUAACACGUGAGUAACCUGCCCUUGACUUCGGGAUAACUUCAGGAAACUGGGGCUAAUACCGGCUAGGAAUCCUUGCGGCAUGGUGGGGGUUGGAAAGCUUCGGCGGUUUUGGAUGGACUGGCGGCUUAUCAGCUUGUUGGUGGGGUAGUGGCUUACCAAGGCUUUGACGGGUAGCCGGCCUGAGAGGGGGACCGGCCACAUUGGGACUGAGAUACGGCACAGACGCCGACGGGAGGCAGCAGGGGGGAAUAUUGCACCAUGGGCGGAAGCCUGAUGCAGAAACGCCGCGUGCGGGAGGACGGCCUUCGGGUUGUAAACCGCUUUCAGCAGGGGCGAAGCUUGUGGUGACGGUACCUGCAGAAGAAGCACCGGCUAACUACGUG